CGGGCCAUUUCCCAUGGCGCCCUGUCUCAAAUGUCUGACAUCAAGAACAUGGAAGACCAGUUUUGGAGCAGUGCUGAUAGUUGGAAAAUAUACAAAUAAACAUCCGUAAAUGUACUUUUUCUUUUUUUUUUUUACAUUAGUCAAGUGAUGUGCCUGAUCUUGCUGAGUGGUUUAUAUGAGACAAAACAACUUUGACUGCAACGUUCACUGCAUAAAUGACCAUGCAGAACUGUAAGGUCACUGAGCAGCAGCCUUUGGGGCUGAAAAAUAAAGCCAACACUUAGGGAGACGAAAGUGGGUCAGACCGAGCAUGUGAGGGGCCCUGAAAGGAGGCUGCCAGACCAUUCUCCCCCCGAACUCCAGAUGCUCUAUUUGUGGAAGUAUCCAUGGUGAUGAUGACUUGCAGUCAUGGAAAAGGGGCGGAUGGACAAGUGGAUGUGUCUAUUUGGCACACAUGGCAGCACUCUCAGCAGUCCACAGCGGGGUGAUUUCAUAACUGCAGUCCAGAAAAGGUAAAGACAACAGAGACCAGACCAUCAGUCAUCAACCAAUCAAAGUGGACAUAAGUAAAUAAGAAACACCUGGGCUAAUACUGACUGUCUAGCUUCGGGGGCAACGACACCAGAGUCUCUGCAAGUGACUCAGGCAUGUUUCAGCAUGUGUGUGAGAACAUGCCCUCUCUGCAUUACCCAGCUCUGUUCUGUUCAGUGUCUGUGCCCUCUGUACAGAAAAUGUGACGUUACAUUGCAGAGUCCAGGUUCAGGCCGGACGGUGUGGAGAUCAAGGUGGCUCGGAGGAACGAGUCCAGGGGGUGAGAGAGGUGGAGUGGUGGGUGAAGAGAAAACAAAAAGUGCAAAAAAGAGGAUGAAAUGCUGCAGCCCUCCCCUCUGUCUCGUCCCCCUUCAGUCAGUGCUGACUGUGUGGAGCAGUGUGUCCCCCCCACCCCCACCCCCUCUUCCCAACUCCUCCUACUCCUCCCUUCCCCACUCCUGUGUGGAAUUGGGUUUACAUAACCCACUGCAGUCUGAGAUAACGCAGCACACAACUCAUGACGACGCCAUCUCUCUCAAGGCAACAAAGACACACAGCAUUUGCAUGAAGCAGCAUCAAACAUUCAUAGUAUGCACUAUAUAUAGUGUAGCAUGUGCUAUACUGAGGAGGCGACGGCUUCUUCUUCUUUUUCACUGCUGUGGGUUGCGUAAUCAAGCACGUACAGGCAUCUGCACACGCAGGCCUGCUCUGAGUAAAAGCCACAACUUCCCCUAAGCAAUGAGGGGUUCAGUCACACAAUCUCACUCCAACCAAGAAGCUUCUGUAUGAAUUUUCAGGGAACUGGGCUCUGAUUCUAAACCCAGAAAAGGCUCUUUUUAAACACUGCUGUCCUGACAGAACCCCUCUUGAACACAAGCUUGUACCGUGUGAACAGACCUCAAGAGUUUUUUUUCCCCUGUAGUGACAGUAGAUUGUAACCACGUCAAAGCGGUGUGUGUGUGUGUGUGGCACAGGGAGGCCGUUGUCAUGAGAGAGAAUGCAGGCAUUUUAUGAAACUCUUACUUAAUCACUUAGUUAGUGUUGUACCAGUUUUGUAUUCUGGGUGGCUACAACCAGUUCUGUCUGGACAGGGCUGGGGGAGAGGUCGGAUUCAAGGGCUGUUAUCUAUCUCUGGGAACCAAGUUAAAUGCUUCUGCGAGUGUUUUUGUGUGUGUGUGUGUGUCUGUGUGAGGGAAUGUGCGUCAUUCUGGCUGAUGAACUUGGAUCGGUAACCAGGACUGUUGUUCUCUACAUUCCCCUGUCACUCGUGGCUCACAAGGGAUCAAGUCACAAUACCUCACCCAGCCUCACUUGCUUUCUAACAACUGGAGCACUGACUUAUGAAACUCUUUUUGAGGGUCUUCCAAUUUCUAUUUUCAAUCAUUUCAUAAUCAUAUCAGACAGCUUGCUUUACAUCACACUACUGGAUUUUGGAUUUGAUUGAAAUACACAAAGGCCACACUGAAAACCUUACAUUUUAAAAUCUAAUGUUCAAACUGUUGAUGAAAUAAUAAUUAAUUAGCGUUAAAUAAAUAGUUCCACCAAUAGAAACAGUAUUUCUUUGUAUCUAUGUAGUCAUUUUGUGUGUUUGUGGUAGUUUUACAUCUAUUUGUUUUGUGCCUCAUUGUAGUUGCAUUGUGUUUCUUUAUCGUAGUUUUUAAUAUCUGUAUGUGGUAGUUUUGUAUCUCUUCAUAGUCGUAUGACUGACUUUCCAAAAAAAACGUUUUUUACUACAUUUUGCAUGUCGUGCUGGAAUGGACAAAAAUAUUUGUUUUUAAAUUUCAGCAUUUUAAAAAUCUGCUGUAUUUGUAAGUGUGCAGAGAUUUUGUGGCACUUUGAUUUCAACCCCUUUUUUUUUUUUAAUUUUCCUGAAAGUAUAUAUAAAAUUAAAAUAUGCUACUUUGGCUCUAAUGCAGCAAUUUCCACUCUGUGGUCUGGAUCAAGGGCUUAGGUUUGGUCUCAACAUUGGUAACAACCCUACCACCCCUCCAAAAUAAAGAGAUUGAUUAAAACUCCUCUUAAAACAUUCUUUUCUCAGAAAGCUUUUAUGAAUGUUUGAUAUUUUGUGUUUCAUUUAAUUCAAUCAGUAUUUUCAUGUAACUUACCUCUGUUUUAUGAUGUGUUUGUUUUUCCCUUGUUUUUAAUUGCUGUUUUAAUUCCGCUAUUUUCUUUUUGUAAAGCACUUUGUAACUUAAUAAAGUUUAUUAUUAUUGUA